ACACGAUUACUCAUUGUCUUUUGGAAAGAUGUUGCAUUACUGAACUUAAAAAACAGUGGUAAAGUUAAACAAAUCAAAAGUGAAAACACCUAGAACUGUAAAAUUUCAAUAAGACAAAAU